UCUGUGUGUGUGCGUGUGUGUGUCUGAGUCUGUGUGUCUGUGCCUCUGUGUGUCCCCUCCCGCCCCCGCAGCGCUCCCGCCCCGGGGGGACGGUCCCGGCUGCCGCCCCCAUCGCCACCGCGCGGGGCAGGAGGAACGCGGGGAGCGGGGAGGGGGGAGUUUCUCGGCGAUUUAUGGGGCGGGGGGACACGGGGAGAGCGGGUAAAUCCAGCCUGUGAUGCCUAUAAAUGGCGCUCCUCUUCCAAGGUGCACAUUUAUAAAAAAAAAAAAAUAAGAAGGGGGGAAAAAAACCCGGUCGGUGUCAUCCCCCCACGUCAGGGCCGGUGGUGGGCGUGAGGCUGUACUUCCUCCGCCCCCUCCUAAUGGAGCGAACCAUUCCCAGCCAGCCUUCCUCGCCCUCUCCCGCUGCCUCCCUCUUCCUCUCCUUCUCCUCUUGUCUCCCCCCCUUGUCUGCAAAGUCCUCCGCUGCUCGGAACUUGUUGGCAAUGUCUAUUUUUCAGCUUUCCCCCACGUUCUCCAAAGUAACUAUUUAAAGAUCUGCAGCCGCAAAUGGUUUUACUAAAUGUAGGAUGGGACUUAAGUUGAACGGCAGUUAUAUUUCUCUGAUCCUUGCUGUACAGAUAGCGUACCUGGUGCAGGCGGUGAGAGCGGCGGGGCGGUGCGAUGCGGUCUUUAGGGGCUUCUCGGAUUGUUUGCUGCGGCUGGGCGAUAACAUGGCCAACUACCCGCAGGACCUGGACGACAAGAGAAAUCUCCAAACGAUCUGCGCGUACUGGGAUGAUUUCCACGCCUGCACCCUCACAGCGCUCACCGAUUGCCAGGAAGGAGCGACAGACCUCUGGGAGAAAUUGAGACGGGAAUCCAAAAACCUCGAUUUCCAAGGCAGCUUAUUUGAACUGUGCGGAGGCGGCAGCGGCGCGGCACCGUCCCUCCUCCCGCCGGCCUUGCCCCUGCUCCUGGCGGCUCUGUGGGCCGCCCUAGUGACCUGGCUGCCUUUCUAGGGGGGCGAGCACACUCACACCCACACCCUCUCCAUGUGCUGGAUCUAUAGAGGAAGUGUCCAUCCGUUGCUUUGGGGACGUUGUGCUUUUCUGUGGUUGAUGAUGAUGAUGAUGGUGGUGGUGGUGGCUGAUGAUGGUGAAACACCCAUGUAGGACUGUGGAAGCGUUCUCCCUUUUUUUUUUUUUUUUCUUUUUUUUUUUUUUUUUUUUUUUUUUUUUUUUUUUUUGGUGUGUUUUAUUUGCCAAAUCUUACCAAACAGGCAGCGGCGCGCAGCCCAAAUCGGACCUCAGCUUUACUAUCGCUUCGAAUCAAAAAUAGAGAAAAAUAUAAAGAAACUAACUCGAGCCCUCGUUGUGCAAACGCAAUCUCAGGAACGGCUCUGGGCCACCUACUGCUAAGGCUGUAACCGGCCGGGUACCUCCCGGCGAGCCACGGGCUCCGCUAAAAAUGUGGCAGUGUGCGAGGCGAGAACAAAAACCGCAGACAGGAAAAGGCACUGGCGAGAAAUCCAAGCUGAUAUGAAGAAAAGAUGAAAACAGCCUCCUGAAGGUCAAGGUGAGACUGACCAACACCUGAUUGCUGGUAUUCACCAGCAGUAAUAAAUCCCUGAUCACAGGUGCUGGAAGUCUCUUCAGAGAAACAACAUUGCUGCAGGGGACAAACAACUAGUCCUGACCUUCUUUACACAGCCAUUCUCUGGGAAAAAGUAUCCCCUGAAGUCAAUGUGGAUUCUGCCUAGCUUUCAUCAGAAGAAAAAUGCCUGGAUUGAAAUGACAACAAAUAAUAGGUGUUGGUGAUUUGCACUCUCUCCACCUAAAUCAGAAAUCUGGCACAUCAAUACUUAGAAGGCUUAGGAGAAGAAGAAAACAUCAGUAUUUCACUGAACACAAAAAAGUUGCACAACUCCUCAGUCCUUAUUUUAAUGUCAGCUGUGGUUAGUUCAUCAUAUUUCUUUUUUUCUGUAAGACUAGCGAUUCCCACUUCUUUUUGAAUCCCACCUGUGCAAAUAGCUUGUUUUUCUCCCUAGCAAGUGUUAACAAGGAACUGCGAGGGUUUUGUUCAGGCUCAGUAGUCAGGCAGUCCUGGGGUGUCUGACUUCUAGGAAAAGCCACAGCAGGAACAAAUGAGAGCCAGCCCACGCACCAGGCACAGCUUUUGCUGGUCCUCAGCUCAUGUUCCAGCUCACGCUCUGGUAAAUGAAUCGCCGUUAGCAACUGCAACGCUGACCAACGCCGGGAGGACAGGUCUGGAUGAGCCGGAUGCUUCAUCAUGGAGCUGCCCUUGGAAACGAUGGCCCAUUAUAAGGCAGCUUCACCCUCCUCAGCAGAGCCCACGGCAAUUUAGGGCUUGCUCUGCUCACUUUAGUCCGCGCAAUUUCAUCCUUUGCGUGAACCAGAUCAUGCAAAUGGGGGGCACCGGAGUCACGGGGAAGCCGAGUUCCACACAAGGACUGGCAUGAGAAGGAGCAGCAAUUAGCUCUAAAUUCACUCCACCAGCCUGUCAUUUCCGCGCUCUCCCCUGCUGCUCUGCAACUGGAAGCCUUGCACUCUAGAAGAAGGGGAGAAGAACAUUUUGCUCAUGCUCAUAUUAAUCAAGUCAUCUUGUGAGCUGCUGAAUCUGUGAAAUUGUAUCUCCCAUGGAGUUCAGUGGUAAUGACUGUCUUCGAUGUGGACUCUCUGGUGUCUAAUAAUACAGUAAUAUUACUGCAGUGGAUGCACUCCCAGCAUUUUUUCUCCUCUGCCUGCCUACUUCUACAGCACUUGUAGGCAGUUCAAACCUUUGAGACUUCUAUCCCCUGUCAAGUUUGAUCAAACUCAGUUCACAGGCUCAAAAAUUAUUUAGGAGGGACCGACUGGCACUUGCACAGACAGUGUGAUUUCAUAAGCUUCCUUUCCUUGGGAAACUAGGCUACCAACCUAGCAACGGGGUGAAAAAAAGCCAUCCUGCUAGCAAAGAGGACCUAAACACCAGGAGGAAAGAGGGGAGGUGGGAGAGGAAAGUGAAGAUGUUUUGAUGGGAAAAAAAAUGCUGCCUUGUGGCUGCAGAGCUCUCACACACUUAAAGGGCCAGCCUUGGAGACACAUGCUGGAGAAAUUAUUCUCCAGGAGAUGGAAAGUUCUCUCAUGAAAAUUGGUAAGGGAAAGAAAGGACCUGGAUUCAUCUCACCACCUGGCAUGCUGAAUGGAUAUCUUUAUGGUAAGGAUUAUCUCUGAUGGCACUCGUUCCUCCCUGUGGACUAGAGGAAGACACAGACACAAUUAGCAUGCAACCUGUAUGCCUGCAGCAUCUAAAGCGAGGUGUGUCCUAUCCCAAAGGGAAUAAUCUUCUUCCCACUCUCUCCUUCAGACCAAAGUUUUCCAUGGUGCUGCUGCAGGGUUUGUUACUUCAUGUACUACAUUUGUAUUUUAGAAAAGCUGCUGUGUGUCUUAAUAGCUGCAGAUGUAUGCAUGGUUUUACUGGGCAUUUAUUAUCACUUAUCCUCUUUGCACUGAAACCUUUCCUGUCCUUGUAUCUUACGGAAUAAAAUUCUUAAAGUGAG